GUUAUAUGGUCAAGCGAAUAAGCGCACACGGUGGAUGCCUAGGCGGUCAGAGGCGAUGAAGGACGUGGUAGCCUGCGAAAAGUGUCGGGGAGCUGGCAACAAGCUUUGAUCCGGCAAUAUCCGAAUGGGGAAACCCACUGCUUCGGCAGUAUCUUGCAGUGAAUUCAUAGCUGCUUGAAGCGAACCCGGUGAACUGAAAUAUCUAAGUAACCGGAGGAAAAGAAAUCAACCGAGAUUCCCUGAGUAGUGACGAGCGAACGGGGAACAGCCCUUAAGCUGGAAUGGCUUUAGAAAAACAAUCUGGAAAGAUUGGCCAUAGAAGGUGAUAGCCCUGUAUUUAAAAGGGCCACUCCAGUGAAGACGAGUAGGGCGGGGCACGUGAAACCCUGUCUGAAUAUGGGGGGACCAUCCUCCAAGGCUAAAUACUCCUGACCGACCGAUAGUGAACCAGUACCGUGAGGGAAAGGCGAAAAGAACCCCGGAGAGGGGAGUGAAAUAGAUCCUGAAACCGUGUGCGUACAAGCAGUAGGAGCUCGCAAGAGUGACUGCGUACCUUUUGUAUAAUGGGUCAGCGACUUACUGUUCGUGGCAAGCUUAACCGUAUAGGGGAGGCGAAGGGAAACCGAGUCUGAUAAGGGCGCAUAGUCGCGGGCAGUAGACCCGAAACCGGGUGAUCUAGUCAUGGCCAGGGUGAAGGUGCCGUAACAGGUACUGGAGGCCCGAACCCACGUCUGUUGCAAAAGACGGGGAUGAGCUGUGAUUAGGAGUGAAAAGCUAAUCGAACCCGGAGAUAGCUGGUUCUCCUCGAAAGCUAUUUAGGUAGCGCCUCGGACGAAUACUACUGGGGGUAGAGCACUGUUAUGGCUAGGGGGUCAUCGCGACUUACCAAACCAUUGCAAACUCCGAAUACCAGUACGUACUAUCCGGGAGACACACGGCGGGUGCUAACGUCCGUCGUGAAAAGGGAAACAACCCAGACCCACAGCUAAGGUCCCAAAUUCACUGCUAAGUGGAAAACGAUGUGGAAAGGCAUAGACAGCCAGGAGGUUGGCUUAGAAGCAGCCACCCUUUAAAGAAAGCGUAAUAGCUCACUGGUCGAGUCGGUCUGCGCGGAAGAUUUAACGGGGCUAAGCAGUGAACCGAAGCUUGGGGUGCGUAAAACUUCGGUUUUAUGCGCGGUAGAGGAGCGUUCCGUAAGCCUGCGAAGGUGGAUUGAGAAGUCUGCUGGAGGUAUCGGAAGUGCGAAUGCUGACAUGAGUAACGAUAAUGCGGGUGAAAAGCCCGCACGCCGAAAGCCCAAGGUUUCCUUGCGCAACGUUAAUCGACGCAGGGUUAGUCGGUCCCUAAGGCGAGGGCGAAAGCCGUAGUCGAUGGGAAGCAGGUUAAUAUUCCUGCACCUCGCGUGAGUGCGAUGGAGGGACGGAGAAGGUUAGGUGUACCGGGCGUUGGUUGUCCCGGGGAAAGGCGGUAGGUUUGGAUCUUUGGCAAAUCCGGGAUCCUUUAAGACCGAGCACCGAGACGAGCCUUUAUGGCGAAGUCACUGAUACCACGCUUCCAGGAAAAGCUCCUAAGCUUCAGCUCACGAAGACCGUACCGUAAACCGACACAGGUGGGUAGGAUGAGAAUUCUCAGGCGCUUGAGAGAACUCGGGUGAAGGAACUAGGCAACAUGGCACCGUAACUUCGGGAGAAGGUGCACCCUUUUUGGUGGCUCAUGCGAGCUAUAGCUGAAGAGGGUCGCAGAAACCAGGCCGCUGCGACUGUUUAUCAAAAACACAGCACUCUGCAAACACGAAAGUGGACGUAUAGGGUGUGACGCCUGCCCGGUGCUGGAAGGUUAAUUGAUGGGGUCAGCCGCAAGGCGAAGCUCUUGAUCGAAGCCCCAGUAAACGGCGGCCGUAACUAUAACGGUCCUAAGGUAGCGAAAUUCCUUGUCGGGUAAGUUCCGACCUGCACGAAUGGCGUAACGACAGCGGCGCUGUCUCCACCCGAGACUCAGUGAAAUUGAAAUCGCUGUGAAGAUGCAGCGUUCCCGUGGCAAGACGGAAAGACCCCGUGAACCUUUACUAUAGCUUUACACUGAACGUUGAGUUCGUCUGUGUAGGAUAGGUGGGAGGCUAUGAAACUGUGGCGCUAGCUGCAGUGGAGCCAACCUUGAAAUACCACCCUGUCGUGCUUGACGUUCUAACCUAGAUCCGUUAUCCGGAUCAGGGACCGUGUAUGGUGGGUAGUUUGACUGGGGCGGUCUCCUCCUAAAGAGUAACGGAGGAGCACGAAGGUACGCUCAGCGCGGUCGGACAUCGCGCACUGUGUGCAAAGGCAUAAGCGUGCUUGACUGCAAGAUCGACGGAUCAAGCAGGUACGAAAGUAGGUCUUAGUGAUCCGGUGGUUCUGUAUGGAAGGGCCAUCGCUCAACGGAUAAAAGGUACUCCGGGGAUAACAGGCUGAUACCGCCCAAGAGUUCAUAUCGACGGCGGUGUUUGGCACCUCGAUGUCGGCUCAUCACAUCCUGGGGCUGUAGUCGGUCCCAAGGGUAUGGCUGUUCGCCAUUUAAAGUGGUACGCGAGCUGGGUUCAGAACGUCGUGAGACAGUUCGGUCCCUAUCUGCCAUGGGCGUUGGAAGUUUGAGAGGGGCUGCUCCUAGUACGAGAGGACCGGAGUGGACGAACCUCUGGUGUUCCGGUUGUCACGCCAGUGGCAUUGCCGGGUAGCUAUGUUCGGAAGCGAUAACCGCUGAAAGCAUCUAAGCGGGAAGCGCGCCUCAAGAUGAGACUUCCCGGGGCACAAGCCCCCUAAAGGAACCAUAUAGACUAUGUGGUUGAUAGGUCAGGUGUGUAAGUACAGUAAUGUAUUGAGCUAACUGAUACUAAUGAUCCGUGCGGCUUGACCAUAUAACCUCA
rnacentral:rRNA from 1 species